rnacentral:lncRNA from 12 species
GGUUGAGAGACUGUAGUCCCAGGGUUGCUUCCAACCACCUUCUCUGCCACGUGGAGAAAGUCUGGCCACGAUGUUUCCAAUCUAUUCACUCGGGGCUUUCCAAACUUUUCUGAGAGUACACCUAAAAAGUACGGGGAAGAAGUGACUCUUGGUGGCUGCCUCAGCCUGCAGCCAAGUCAGAGCCCCUGCCCAGCAUGGAGGCCUCAAGUUACACUGUGAUCCUGAGAGUACCUAGUACAUCUGUGUGUGCAGAGUUGAAAAUGCCUUCUGAAUAAAGUCAUUGUUUUUUAAUCA